CAGAAGCAAAGAGAAACACCAUCUUAUUUAUCGCACCUUCCUUUAUUCUCCACUACAACACAACAUAUUUAACAUUGCGACAACCACAGCUGCAACACAGUUUUAUCACCGCCACGAAAUCCAUCACCGCAAUAUAACUUAUUUACCGCCCCGAGAGUCACCACUGCGACACAGCCUAUCUACCGUCGUGAGAACCACCGUUGCAACACAACCUAUUUAUUACUGCGAGAGCCACUUCACUCAUAGUCAAAUUCUCGAUAAUUCAAUUUUAAUCGGAAAUAGAGAAAGAACAUCGGUACCAUUUGUCGAAUAGUUAUAGGUGGUAUGGAGGGACUAAAAGACGUGUCAACGGAAGUGGUUGAUGAAACAGGUGAGGAUAGUGAGGAAGAUUUCAGUUGAUGGUGCCAAAUGGUUAUGCAAAAAAAGAAUUCAUGGCAACUGUGUCUAGUCAACAUGGUGGUGCAUUCAAUAUGGGGGUGUUCUUAGAACUGACGAUAUUCAAUGAUGGCAGUCAACAUGGUGGUGUUCUCAGAAGAAGAAGCUAUGUCGUUCAGCGGUGUUGUUCUCGAAACCGACGAAAAUUGAUGGUGCUCAUAGAAACUACGACAUUGUGUUCACAGAACAUGAACCUGUUUGUGGUUUUAUUAUUUUUCACUGAAAUUUCGCUUUUAAUUAAAACUGUUGUUAACCAGAUCCAAACCGAUUUAAAGUUCUUUGCUUUAAUCUGGUUUUCCUUGAUAUGUAAUAUUUGUCUGCUUUCAAUCAGAAAGCUGCGAAGAGAAAAAGGAUUACUUGCUGCUUGAAAAGCCAACUUUGAAAAGAGUAAAGAGUUCAAGGAACAGUUGCAAGUUUUCAGGAAAGAAAAUGCUGCAAGCAGCAGUCAAUAGAAGGAUUACUUGCUGCUUGAAAAGCCAACUUUGAAAAGAGUAAAGAGUUCAAGGAACAGUUGCAAGUUUUCAGGAAAGAAAAUGCUGCAAGCAGCAGUCAAUAGAAGGAUUACUUGCUGCUUGAAAAGCCAACUUUGAAAAGAGUAAAGAGUUCAAGGAACAGUUGCAAGUUUUCAGGAAAGAAAAUGCUGCAAGCAGCAGUCAAUAGAAGGAUUAUGGCCUGAUAUGAUAUUUUGCCAAUUUCAAAACAUUGAAUUAUUCUAUUAUCAAUAUUGUAAGAAUUUUCCAUUCCUUUGUUAGAAGAAGGAUUUCCUCCAUAUUAGAGAGGUCGUGUAGCUUCUAAACAAAUGUAUGGAAAAAAUCAAAAUAAAUGAAAUACAUAUGUAUUUUUAUACAGUCAACAUUAAUAACAGAGCUCUUUAUUUGUUUACAAAAUAUAAAAGAAUCCUGCCUCACCACCAUUACUUAAUAGAAAGAAACUCAUCACUCAAAUAAUGUUAGAUUAGAUUGUUCUAUUUGCUUUUUACUCUACUGGAGGCUUCACACAAAAUUAGUCGAAAACUUAGGGUGGAAGGUUUAAAUAAAAGAACAUUGUAUAUGUUUGAAUUAAUAAAAUCUGUAGAUUUUUACUCUACUAGAAGAAGUACAAUAG